rnacentral:rRNA from 1 species
UACGUAGGGGGCUAGCGUUGUCCGGAAUCAUUGGGCGUAAAGCGCGUGUAGGCGGUCCGGUAAGUCCGCUGUGAAAGUCGAGGGCUCAACCCUCGAAUGCCGGUGGAUACUGUCGGGCUUGAGUACGGGAGAGGCGAGUGGAAUUCCUGGUGUAGCGGUGAAAUGCGCAGAUAUCAGGAGGAACACCGGUGGCGAAGGCGGCCCUCUGGACGGAUACUGACGCUGAGGCGCGAAAGCGUGGGGAUCAAACAGG